GGCUAGUAUCGCGAGAUCAGGAAGGUGGCCGAGUGUGUCGCCGCGGCCAUCAGGCACUUCUCCUUCCUGCCCUUGUAUGAAGAAGGAUGUGUUUGCUUCCCCUUGUGCCAUGAUUGUAAAUUUCCUGAGGCCUCCUCAGCCCUGCAGAACUGGCUAGAGCAAUGUAUCUUAGGCUCACUUAAGGAAGCUGUAGAGAUGAGCCCAAGGAGGGAAACCAGAAGAGCCCCCCAGGCUCACCAGUUGUUUGUUGGCUCCCUACAAACAUGUCAUUCAAGUGGCUAAUCUUACAACAGCACAAAUUCAUCUAACCAGAGAUACUCUAUUAUAGCAAAGAAGAAAGAUAAUUUCAUUGAGCCAUCCUGUUUUACAGUAUUGAAUUAUUACCACAAGGUACCAACCAUAUAUGCAUACUUAAUAGGGUAUUUUGUCAAAACUAUGCAUGAAGGUCAUUUGUUUGAGAUGUCAGAACAUUUUCCCGUGAGAAGAUCUCAUUGGGCAUUGAAACAGAACCACAUGCUCUUCAGACCAGCAACCGCGACUACCAAAUACUCCUCUGUCAACUCUACUUGAAAAAAAUCGUGGUGACACAAAAUCUUUCUUUUUAGCACCCAACAGAAUCCCUUCAAAGCCUCGUGGUCUGACACCCUAUGCUACGUGACUUGUGACCCAUCCAUUUGUCAUGUUCUUCGGGAAUGUGGCUAAGGGGCUAAGAUGUGACUUGAAAAGAAAGGUAGAACAAGAUCAUCUCAAAUUUAUUAUCAAGGAAUAGUUCAGAAAACGACUUCAGACCACAGAGACAGCAGAACAGAUGGUCCGGCAUGGAUAGAGCAUCAGACACUCACAGACUGUGCCAACAAGAGCCAUCGAGUCAAAACAGCCAAAGGAAGGAGGGUCAUGGAAUGGGUUCUCUCACACCAAACUGAUGCCCAGAGGCCCUCAGCAUGAAUAACAAAGGCAACCAGACCCACAAGCCAUACUGAGUGGAUACAAAACCUAUACCUAGGCUGACAUCCCAAAUGUGUGUGGCAAGUUAGAUGAUGAUGGCACAAAAGACAGAACACCUUGCUUCUGGCCAUUGUCAGCUCUUGGAAGAGAGCACACUUUUAGAGGAGCAGCUGCAAGGAGCCUGAGAACAAAACUGGAAAUGUCUGUUAUGAAAGCCUUCACAGGAAAUUCUGCAAGUGGCAACGUGGGUCCAUUCCGUGUGUGUCACUAGAGCUGGCGCAAGCCCAUGGCCAUGGUGAGGCAGCGUUUCCACUGGAACUAAUCUGAUACCUGCACCAGCUCUUGCAACUGUGCAGUGUUCCCACUGCAAACUACGGAUGGGGUAAAAGACUGCUCACCUCCUAUUUCUCAUCUAAUCUCACACACUCUGUUUGAUGAGGCUAUGGAGAAACAGGUCUUCUCAUACACUAAAGGUGGGAGUACAAACAAUUCAAGCCCUGUGCAGGACAAUUAGGCAAUACCUAUCAAAAUUAUACAUGAUUUUUCCUGCUGACCCAGCAAUUCCACUUCUGGGAAUAAUUGACAGAUAUAGGUGCAUAUGUACAAAAUGAUGGAAAGCUCUCUGGUAUAUAUUAGUAAGUGAUAAAACAAGGUGUAAAAUAGUGUAUAUAUGGCUACUACCUUUUGUUUUAAAAAUGGGGGAAAAUGGUGGAGCUUGCGGUGAGCCGAGAUCGUGCCACUGCACUCCAGCCUGGGCGACAGAGCGAGACUCCGUCUCAAAAAAAAAACAGGGUGGGGUGGGGGGGAAAUAAUAGUACAUACUCAUAUUUACCUGUAUCUAUAUAAAACACACUAUCAAGGAUUCACAAGAAACUAAUACAAAUGAUCACCUUAUAGAUGGUAUGUAUUGGGGGAUACUGAGGUGAGCAGGGUAUAAGUGGGGCAAGACUUUUCAGUGUAAACUUCUUUUAAAUUUUAUUUUGAUUUUUGAAUAAUGUAAAUUAACUGUCAAAUAAUUAAAUUAAAAAUAACCAAUUUAUUAACAAAA
rnacentral:lncRNA from 1 species